GGGGGUGGUGUUGGGGGCGGGUGUCGGGGUGGGGGCUGUCCUGAAUCCACCUGGAACACUUUCGGAAAGACAAACGCGGUUCCUCCUACUUCAGAGCAAGUCUGGGCCAGCUGGGAUCCGACCAGAAACCGCGAGCGGAGGCGGCGCAGGCUCGCGGGGUGAGCGCUCCCCGAGGGCGCGACCCGCCGCCCGCUCCGCCGCGCCCGGCCCCAGGGCCGCGCCGCCGGUCCCCACCGCACCCGGACCACGCAGGGUGCCCAGCGCCCUCCCAACACGCGGGGCCCCCACGCCCGCCCCUGACUCACGGUGCAUCCUCUGCAUCCCCCCAGACGCCCCCCUCCCCACCUUGCUCAAGUGACACACAUAAACGCUGCUCUGCACCAGAAAGGGACAAAUCCAUUUCUGAAGACAGGACAAGAAAAGUCCCAAUGGGUCAGAAGGUUCUUGCAGACUAAGAGUUUAAAAAAGAUGUCCCGAGGGACUAGAAUUCAGUGGAGAGUCUGAAGUAGUUUCGUUCCCUUAUUUACCUGCAGGAGUAUCUGUGUAGGAGGAAGCAGGGUAAGACCUCCGUUGAACUUGGAACUAAACUUGAAUGCCAUGUAAAAUAAAAAUAGACUUAAAACACCAACCACAA